rnacentral:misc_RNA from 1 species
UCUUUGAUGCCGCGUGUUGUGCAGUAAACAUGUCGAACACGUACCGUACCGUACUUUGAUAUUCCACAAGUUGUCGUCACUUACGUACUUAGCUUAAUAAGUUUGCACAAAUAAUUAAAACUAUGUGAUCUAGCCAAGCAAGCGACACUGCUUACAAAUACUUGAGUGCUCAAACAAAUUGGAAGUCUAAAAGUGGUUGCAGAUUGUGUUAUUUGCAGCUGAAUUCAACGAGAUUGCUACGCUACCCCAAACGGGGGAAAGUUGGAAGUACGACGGGGAAAGACGAACUUCACAAAAUGGCUGUCGCCCCGCCGGCCCGGAGCGUGCAUCUGUACAAAAAUGGGGACAAGUUUUACAACGCCAAGCGGGUGAUUGUCAACUUCAAACAGACCAGAACUUUGGAAUCUUUCCUAGACAGUUUGACGUCGAAAGAGAAACCGUCUUUUGGUGCAAUCCGUAAACUUUACACGCCGACUCAAGGCCAUUCCGUCAACUCGCUGGACCUGCUGGAAAACAACAAAUUUUAUGUCUUCAGUGGAACUGAAAGAUUUGUUGGUUUGAACUAUGGCAAAAGUGGUGCAAAUGACAUCAGAAGAAGAAGGGUGCCCACACAAAGACGAAUCCAGCCGGUAGGCCACAGCAAUAUCCGAGUCUCGGCGAAAUACAUCAAAAGGCAGGAAGGCCCCAAGGUCGUACAUGUGUUUCGGAAUGGAGAGGACCUCAGCCCAGCUGUCCGAGUGCUUCUACACAAAAACCAAUUACUCAGCAUGAUCCAUAUACUGGACCACAUCACCAACAAAGUCGCCCUUACAAAUGGGGCAGUCAGAAAAUUGUAUCACGUGUCAGGUAAACUGGUUACGGACGGCUCGGAGCUUGAGAAUGAGCAAUUCUACGUGGCGGCCGGCAUCGAGAAGUUCAAGAAACGAGCCUACGAUAAACAGAACCUCCAACAGACAUCUCCCAGGACUAAACGAGUGCUUCCACCAGUCCCCAGAAGACCUCCGCCAAAAGCCAAGCCCUCUCCAGCUAAAGAAACCCAGAAACCUACCCAACAACGGGAGCCCAGGCCUCCCCCACCUAAACAGGAGGCCCCUCCCCGCAAACCCCAAGCCCCGCCCAAGCCCGCUGCCAACGCCCAGUCUGAGCAGAAACCCAAGAGUCGACGCCCCAAGGCUGAGAAGACGGCCGAUCAGAAGGAGGCUGAGGAGGUGUUCCACCACAAGCCAGCCAUGGUCAAACGCAGCCGGGAGAAAGAAGAUCACACCAAGGAAUCGCUAGACUACGAAGAUCCAAACAGUGUUUUCAAAGCAUCUGAGCAGCGCAAAGAGACAGCCAGGGCGGCCGAAGUGGAAGAAACCAAUGAAACUGCCGUUGAUCUUCCGGUUGAUCAAAUUGCUGCUGAAGAGGUUGACGAAGAAGAAGCUGAGGUCAAUGAGUUCCUAACUCAGAACCCAACACCGCCACCUCGUGAGGCCACACCACCUCGUGAGGCAACACCACCUCGCGAGGCAACGCCACAGCUGGAUCCGACGCCACCACCACGCGAGGCGACGCCGCCUCUGGAUCCAACACCACCACCUCGUGAGGCAACACCACCUCGCGAGGUGACACCACAACUUGAGCCUACACCACCACCUCGGGAGGCGACACCGCCACUCGAACCAACGCCACCACCCCGCGAGGCAACACCACCUCUGGAUCCAACACCUCCUCCUCGUGAGGCCACGCCACCUUUGGAACCAACGCCACCACCUCGCGAGGCAACACCACCUCUGGAUCCAACACCUCCUCCUCGCGAGGCAACGCCACCUCUUGAACCCACUCCACCACCUCGCGAGGCAACACCAUCUCAACCAAAGGAUGCUGAGCAAGUGAGUUAAGGGCAGCAAUUUCAGGGCAGGGGAAGCAGUCUAGGCUAGCAGUGGAGAGGACUAGCCUGUUGCCUUUUUGACUGAUGAGGGUGAGU